CGCGUAGGUAAUCUGCCUUGGAGAUUGGGACAACCAUUCGAAAGAAUGGCUAAUACCAAAUACCUUAUAUUAAUCGCAUGAUUUUUAUAAUAAAGGGGGCUUUUAGCUCUCACUUCAAGAUGAACCUGCGUCCUAUUAGCUUGUUGGUGAGGUAGAAGCUCACCAAGGCAACGAUGGGUAGCCGGCCUGAGAGGGUGAUCGGCCACACUGGGACUGAGAUACGGCCCAG
rnacentral:rRNA from 1 species